UGACUAUCUCCAGUCAAGAUCUCCAGGAAGCAGACUGAGGUGGAGAUUAACAUACAGGAAAUGUAUUAAAGACCCUUGGAGUUAAAAGAAGCAGGAACAGACAAAGGGAGAUCAAGCUGCUGUGCAGUCAACAAAGGCUUCAAUCAAUCCCAUGGGAUUCUGGAGUUAGGAUGAUGAGAGGCUUGGCCUCCAGUGGAUUAGUUAGAUGCUGUUUGUUAGCAAGGGGAUGGAAAAUACUCUGGAAGGAGGGAGGUGAGGCAAAUUCUGAAGAGGUUGUUGUCUGGCAGCGCUGCCUGCAGCUGAAGUGAAAAGUCCCCCAUUCCUGAGUGGGGCUCUGGUUGGGGCACAGGAGCUUCACUACAGAGACUAACACAGAAUUCUGAAAAGGAAGAGUUCAAACUACAGAUGAUUUUUCUCCUAUCACUAACUCCAGAAGACAGAAUGAUGUGAAUAUGGGUGACCAACUGAUCAAUGCCAGAAAUUUGGACAGAAGUAUCCCCAAGGUGAAGCAGGAUGACAAGUUAAAAGCUAGUAGUACUUUGAUUCAUAUUCAUCUCCAUAAUCUAAGCUUGUAACACUGACUGACCUCCAGCACAGAAUUCUCAUUCAUAGUAUUGUUUUCUGUAAACUUCAUACUGAUUUUUUUCCUAUUUAUGAUCCUGUUCUCCGCCAAUCUAACUCCCAUUUCUGUCCUUGACUGCAUAAUCAGAUUUGAUACUCAGUCUUAUUUUCCAAGCAACAAAUAUAAGCUGCUCUUUCACUGUUGAAAUAGCAAGCAGAAAAAAAGCAGACAUUUCUAAGACUGCUAAGUCAUGGGUUAAGACAUUACAAAUGAAGAAACACAUAAUUACAAAUGACCACUUCUUUCUACCAAAUUCUUCACAUGUGGAACACAGGUUGGAUCCCUGGUCCAAGAAGAGUCCACAUGCCCCAGGGCAACUCAGUUUGUGCGCCGCUACUGCUGAAGCCCGUGUGCCUUGAGCCUGUGCUCCACAGCAAAGAGAGGCCACCGCAUGAGAAGCCCACACACCACCAUAAAGAGUAGCCCCUGCUCUCUGCGACUAGAGAAAGCCCACGUGCAGCAACGAAGACCCAGUGUGGCCAAAAACAAAAUAAAUAAAAUUUUCCUUUUUAAAAAUGACUAGAGCUAUAAGAUUUUGAUUAAAAUGGACAUAUUUGUUUCUGGGAGGUUACAGAACAGAAACCAGGUUCGGGC
ensembl:lncRNA